rnacentral:rRNA from 1 species
GAUGAACGCUGGCGGCGUGCCUAAUACAUGCAAGUAGAACGCUGAAGCUUGGUGCUUGCACCGAGCGGAUGAGUUGCGAACGGGUGAGUAACGCGUAGGUAACCUGCCUCUUAGCGGGGGAUAACUAUUGGAAACGAUAGCUAAUACCGCAUAAAAGUCGAUAUCGCAUGAUAUUGAUUUGAAAGGUGCAAAUGCAUCACUAAGAGAUGGACCUGCGUUGUAUUAGCUAGUUGGUGAGGUAACUGCUCACCAAGGCGACGAUACAUAGCCGACCUGGGAGGGUGAUCCGCCACACUGAGACUGAGACACUGCCCAGACCCCUACGGGAGGCAGCAGUAGGGUAUCUUCGGCAAUGGGGGCAACCCUGACCGAGCAACGCCGCGCGAGUGAAGAAGGUUUUCGGAUCGUAAAGCUCUGUUGUAAGAGAAGAUCGAGUGUGAGAGUUGAAAGUUCACACUGUGACGGUAACUGACCAGAAAUCGACGGCUAACUACGUG